UGGGUAACCUGCCCUAAAGUGGGGGAUAACAUUUGGAAACAGAUGCUAAUACCGCAUAAAACCUAGCACCGCAUGGUGCAAGGUUGAAAGAUGGUUUCGGCUAUCACUUUAGGAUGGACCCGCGGUGCAUUAGUUAGUUGGUGAGGUAAAGGCUCACCAAGACCGUGAUGCAUAGCCGACCUGAGAGGGUAAUCGGCCACACUGGGACUGAGACACGGCCCAGACUCCUACGGGAGGCAGCAGUAGGGAAUCUUCCACAAUGGACGAAAGUCUGAUGGAGCAACGCCGCGUGAGUGAAGAAGGUUUUCGGAUCGUAAAACUCUGUUGUUGGAGAAGAACGUAUUUGAUAGUAACUGAUCAGGUAGUGACGGUAUCCAACCAGAAAGCCACGGCUAACUACGUGCCAGCAGCCGCGGUAAUACGUAGGUGGCAAGCGUUGUCCGGAUUUAUUGGGCGUAAAGCGAGCGCAGGCGGUUUCUUAAGUCUGAUGUGAAAGCCUUCGGCUCAACCGAAGAAGUGCAUCGGAAACUGGGAAACUUGAGUGCAGAAGAGGACAGUGGAACUCCAUGUGUAGCGGUGAAAUGCGUAGAUAUAUGGAAGAACACCAGUGGCGAAGGCGGCUGUCUGGUCUGUAACUGACGCUGAGGCUCGAAAGCAUGGGUAGCAAACAGGAUUAGAUACCCUGGUAGUCCAUGCCGUAAACGAUGAGUGCUAGGUGUUGGAGGGUUUCCGCCCUUCAGUGCCGCAGCUAACGCAUUAAGCACUCCGCCUGGGGAGUACGACCGCAAGGUUGAAACUCAAAGGAAUUGACGGGGGCCCGCACAAGCGGUGGAGCAUGUGGUUUAAUUCGAAGCAACGCGAAGAACCUUACCAGGUCUUGACAUCCUUUGACCACUCUAGAGAUAGAGCUUUCCCUUCGGGGACAAAGUGACAGGUGGUGCAUGGUUGUCGUCAGCUCGUGUCGUGAGAUGUUGGGUUAAGUCCCGCAACGAGCGCAACCCUUAUUACUAGUUGCCAGCAUUUAGUUGGGCACUCUAGUGAGACUGCCGGUGACAAACCGGAGGAAGGUGGGGACGACGUCAAAU
rnacentral:rRNA from 2 species